rnacentral:rRNA from 1 species
AACGAACGCUGGCGGCAUGCCUAACACAUGCAAGUCGAACGAGACCUUCGGGUCUAGUGGCGUACGGGUGCGUAACGCGUGGGAACCUGCCCUUAGGUUCGGAAUAACUCCCCGAAAGGGGUGCUAAUACCGGAUAAUGUCUUCGGACCAAAGAUUUAUCGCCUUUGGAUGGGCCCGCGUUGGAUUAGCUAGUUGGUAGGGUAAAAGCCUACCAAGGCGACGAUCCAUAGCUGGUCUGAGAGGAUGAUCAGCCACACUGGGGCUGAGACACGGCCCAGACUCCUACGGGAGGCAGCAGUGGGGAAUAUUGGACAAUGGGCGAAAGCCUGAUCCAGCAAUGCCGCGUGAGUGAUGAAGGCCUUAGGGUUGUAAAGCUCUUUUACCCGGGAUGAUAAUGACAGUACCGGGAGAAUAAGCUCCGGCUAACUCCGUG